ensembl:snRNA U6 U6 spliceosomal RNA
UCACUCACUUCAGCAGCACAAAUACCAAAAUUGGAACGAUACGGAGACUAGCAUGGCCACUGUGUAAAGAUGACAUGCAAAUUCGUGAAGCGUCUAUAUAUUUU